rnacentral:rRNA from 1 species
CCUACGGGAGGCAGCAGUGGGGAAUAUUGGACAAUGGGGGGAACCCUGAUCCAGCGACGCCGCGUGAGUGAAGAAGUAUUUCGGUAUGUAAAGCUCUAUCAGCAGGGAAGAAAGAAAUGACGGUACCUGACUAAGAAGCCCCGGCUAACUACGUGCCAGCAGCCGCGGUAAUACGUAGGGGGCAAGCGUUAUCCGGAUUUACUGGGUGUAAAGGGAGCGUAGACGGUUACGCAAGUCUGGAGUGAAAGGCGGGGGCUCAACCCCCGGACUGCUUUGGAAACUGUAUAACUGGAGUGCAGGAGAGGUAAGUGGAAUUCCUAGUGUAGCGGUGAAAUGCGUAGAUAUUAGGAGGAACACCAGUGGCGAAGGCGGCUUACUGGACUGUAACUGACGUUGAGGCUCGAAAGCGUGGGGAGCAAACAGGAUUAGAUACCCCGGUAGUC